rnacentral:piRNA from 1 species
UUCNCUGCUGAAUAGUGUUCCAUUCUAUGA